AGCAAUUCUCAUAGGAACAAAACAUUAUCACAAUAUUUACAUUAAGCAAUCAUGGGUUUCACUGCUCGUAAAUUCUACACCAUCUUUCUUCUCAGCCUUGCAGUUCUCUUUUUCUUCACAUGGGAGGUACAAGGGAAUCUUUGUCAAAGGCGCAGUGUAACAUGGUCAGGACCUUGUUUAGAGAAUGAAAGCUGUAAACAUCAGUGUAUUAACAUGGAAGACUCUACUUCUGGAGCUUGUCACCCUAAAGGCUCGUCAAUCGCAGCUUGCUUUUGUUCCUUCAACUGUUUAGAAAAUUAGCACUUAUUUUCUCUCCAAGCAAUGUGAUUCUUGAGGAAAAUCACUGUUCUCUAGGUACAAGGAAAUACUUGUCAAAGGAAAAGCAAAACAUGGUCAGGGCCAUGUUUAAACACGGCAAACUGUAAAAAUCAGUGCAUCAGUAAGGAACCACCGGCAACAUUUGGGGCAUGUCACCGUGAUGGCAUUGGAUUUGCUUGCUUCUGUUACUUCA